GGUAACAUAACUCAAGAUCAACGCAUCCUUCAGAAGACCUGGCAAAGGAAAUGCUGUACUCCUUAGCCUAUAAAAUAAUGGAGACGGUUAGAGCUCCGGGUGAUGAAACAUGAACCACAAAACUCAACAAAGCCCACAUGGACUUUAUUGGAGAAAGGGAGCAAAGGAAGGGUUUGUCUGGAUAGCAUGUGUCUGUAGGCACCAGGACAGCAGUACCUAGGGCCAUUCAUUAUGGAAUCAUGGGAGGAAAUGACUUUGG